rnacentral:lncRNA from 1 species
UGAUCAUGGCCUGUAACACAACCCUCAGGAGAUCCUGAGAACAUGUGUCAAAGGUGGCUGGGGUGCAGCUUGGUUUUAUACAUUUUAAGGAGGCAUGAGACAUCAAUCAAAUACAUUUGAGAAAUGUAUUGAUUUGGUCCAGAAAGGUGGGACAAUUCAAAGCAGGGGGCUUCCAGGCUAUAGGUAAAUUUAAACAUUUUCUGGUUUACAACUGGUUGAGUUUGUGUAAAGACCAGAGAUUAAAAGAAAGGAAACAUUCAGGUUAAGAUAAAAGACUGUGGUUCUUUUGAAGUCUCAUAGUGGCUGCCCUUAGAGGCAAUAAACGACAAGUGCUUCCUAUUCAGACCUUUAAAAAGUGCUAGACUCUUAGUUAAUCUCUUCAGGAUUGGGAGGGCCUGGAAGAAAAAGAUCUAGCUAUGUUAAUAUUGUUAACAGAUGCAAUUUUUUUCCCCACAAAGGAUGGCUUGCAGGGCCAUUUCAAAAUAUGGCAAAGCAACAUGUUUUGGAGUAAAAUAUUUUGAUUUUCUUCUUUGUCACAUAGUGUUAUGCCAGAGUCAGAUUGGAAAGUAAGUCACGAUAUAUAGGGUUAAAUAAAACCCAUCUGAUGAGAAUUUAUGGCAAGUAGGACAUGACUCCCCAGAUCCCUUAGAUAGGAAUUUGGGCAUAGUAAAAAAUCAAAGCUUAGUCCUCAUUAACAUUUCAUUCUCUUCUUUCGGUGCCAGCCAUAAACUCCUCUCAGUUUGGGGUUUCAUUAUUUCUUUUCCUGCAGCUGGCAUUCACGGACAGUAGGGAAGCCUUCAUGAAGAAAGCAGCAUGGCAUCUGGCCUUUGAAGGAUGGACAGAAUUUGGUCACAUAGAAAUUAGUGUGAAGGGAGGGGAGAGCAUUUCUUAUAGAAGACACGAUGCUCCAGGAAUGUGCAAAACGACCUGGUCUUAGCAAGGAGUGAUUGAGUCGCAAGAUGUAGAAAUCGUUGUAAGCUGGCUUGGUGUGGGAACCUGAGAUAACAGAACAGAAGUGAGUCAUAGAACACCAAAGCACGAAGCACAGAAGUACCACCUGAGCAGCGAGGCCUGGGCUCUGGAAAGCUGUCACAGAAACUGCGUUUGUCAAGAUGAUGAUAGCAAGAGAAAUCUAGCAUGGCUGACUCCAUCCUGCCUCUACCUUCACAGGCUGGCUCUCUUUGCUCAUUCCUGUGCAUUGGCCAACCUAACCAUGGGAAGACUUGUUUAAUAAUAAACAAUAUUUCCCAAUAAACUUCCCAAUAAACACGAGAAGUGUAUUGUUUAAUUUUGGAUCAAGGAUGAUAAUAGUCCCUCCCUAAAACUGCUUCUCUCCUUGUUCUGGGGCUG